AUUUUUUUUUUUUUUUGCAAACUAGGGUUGCUUUGGAGUUAAUCUCUAGAAAUGCCUGACAGCUUCUGUUGCCCUGCAGUAAGUAAGGAGCUCUUGCUGGGGGAAGGAAGCUCUGUGGGGCGAUGGGAACGGAGGGGUGGUGGCAGCGCUUCACCGCUUCACUGGGGCAGUAGCCAGGCAGCACUCUGGCAACCCUUUGAAAGGUGGGCCACACCCUUAACUGUGACCAACCAGGGCCUGGUGAGACCUGCCUGGCCUUCACCAGAGUGGAGGGACACUGGUUGGAAAUUCUCAGGCCUGAAGCUGGGUCCUGCCUCGGAAGCAGCCCCACCAGCCAGCCAGGUGCUGGGAGUUGCUCUCCCACUGGCUGCCCAGACCUGCUCUCCUGUGAACAGAUCAAGGUAUUUGGCAGCUGCUGGACAUAAGUUUUCCACAUCCAGUGAUUGGCUGCCUUUGAUGGACACAGGAACGCAUCACUAUAUGAACUUUAAAGGGACACAGCUUGUGAAAAAUUCCUCUGAUAAAAGUCAAGGCCACUUCAAGGGCUGGGUGCUGCUGAGAGAUGGAAUCUCUGUGCCCUUCCAUCGGGAAGUGGUCUAUGGGCAUGAGGCUCCAGGUUAGCGUUGCAUUGGAUGGUUGUAUAACGUGCUGCUUCAGGGUCCAAACAGCCACUCUUCCGCUCUUCCCUGCAUAGCUUUUACUCCCAGCAGACAUGGUUUUGAACGAGCACUUAGUCUUGCCUGCUAGAACUGUGGAAUUUCAGAUUUUCUAGAAAAACUUUAUUUAUUUCAGUAGCUCUUCUCAUUCUCUGACCAAUGACCCAACAUAGCCGUUCUGCUGCUGCUUCUGGAGACAAUUACCAUUAGCAGCAUCCAUGUUCUUGACAACCUACUCCACUAUCACAGUAAGUUGAGACAAAACACAUCGGGAUGCUUUUGACUGCAAGUGGAAGAAACCGAACUUGAACUGGCAUCAGCGAAGAUGGCGAUGUCUUGGCUGUUGUAGGUGAAAGGUCUAGGAAGCCAUGUUGGGUCCAGCGCUUAUGACUGAGCCUCGAUUCCCUACUUCACUUUCUACUGAUUUCUCUGUGUUGGCAGCAUUCCCAGAGAGACUUUUUACCUCGUGAUGACAAGUACUGCUGUCACCCUCAAGCUUCUAUCUGAUUUUCUCAGCAGCUCCCCAGAAAAACACUAAAGCCUCUUUUCGAAGUCCCAGAACUGAAUCUCCUGGGUCCUGAGCAGCCUGGCUUGACUCAUGGGCCUAUCUCUGGACAAUCUCUAUAUUUAAAGCUGUAUUAAUUUCUUACUGCUGCUGUAACGAAUCAUCAUGGACUUAGUGGUUUAAAACAAUAGCAACGUAUUAUCUUAUUUUUCCAGAGGUCAGAAAUCUAAAAAUGGGCUGGAAGGACUAUAUGCCUUCUGGACACUGAAGGAGAGAAUUCAUUCCUUUGCGUUUUCCAUUUUCUAGACACUGCCUGCAUUCCUCAGCUCAUAGCCUCGUACCACACCAACUUCUCUUUCCAUUGUCACAUCUUCUCUGACUCUAGCUCUCCCCCUCUGUCUUAUAAGAAGAUUUUUAAAAAAUUACAUUGCACGCCCCUCCCCCCAUCCCCAAUAGUCCA
rnacentral:lncRNA from 13 species